rnacentral:rRNA from 1 species
UACGUAGGGGGCAAGCGUUGUCCGGAUUUAUUGGGCGUAAAGAGCGUGUAGGCGGCUUUACAGGUCCGUUGUGAAAACUCGAGGCUCAACCUCGAGACGCCGGUGGAAACCGUAAAGCUAGAGUCCGGAAGAGGAGAGUGGAAUUCCUGGUGUAGCGGUGAAAUGCGCAAAUAUCAGGAAGAACACCCGUGGCGAAGGCGGCUCUCUGGGACGGUACUGACGCUGAGACGCGAAAGCGUGGGGAGCGAUCCGG